CUUUGAACACCGAUCGAUUGAAGAAGAUCAAACCACCAUUGUUUCCAAUACUCUCCCUCCGGCAUCCUUUUCUCCAAUGAGAUGAGAGGAACACUUGUGCAUCUGAUUUCUUCAACCAUCAUCACCAUUUACAUAUUCCAGAUUCAAGCUCAAGCUGCACCUGCCACCCGUAUUCUCUCUUUCUCUCUCUCUCACGCGCGCAUUCAGUUUUUUUGUUUUACGUGUCUGUAGUAUGAUUCCGUCGUCUUUAAUCAGCUCCGGUGAUCAAGCAGUUAUCCUCCAUUCUCAAGUGGACUUCAACAAAAUCACCAGUAUCAGUUUGGAGGCAGCAGGUUGAUGCAACAGGAAGUCGGGCAACUGUUUAGGGAAACUUUCAAUGGCAAAGAUACUGCUGGACUUGGAGAUUGUAUCUUGAACUUAUUCAGGCAAGGAUGAUGGAUCCUUUGGGUUUUGGCUUACAUCAUCAGCAGAUUUUAUAUAACCCAGCAAUCUCCCCAUAGAUCUGUUGAUGCCAAAACUCACUUAUUUUGGUCUGCCUUUUAUUUUCUUAUUUUGUUGAUGAAGAGUCAUUUUCAAGAAUGUGCUGAUGCUGUGAACAAGGACAACUCCUUUAUCUUCAUCAUAGUCAACCAUAUUUGACUUCAUAGAGAAAGGUUCUAUGUCAUCACACCUUUUAAUCUGUAAGUAGCUUACUUUUUGUGUUGGGUCAAAAUGGAGAAUGAUGUUAUCAAUUACACCGACGUUAUUUAGCGUAUUUAUUAUCUUGUGUAGGUUGGCGUUUUUAUUUGUUUUAGUCAGACGUUUUAGUGAUUUUGGUAGGUUUUCCAAGCAAGAGGCGGCUUGCUUGGAGGACAAGGCUCAAGGGGCUAUAAAUAGAGUACUAGACCUCAUUUGUGAGGUGUGCAUUUGUGAGCCACCACUCCGGGGAAGCUCACCCGGGGUGGAUGAUUAUCGUUGUAUCUAUUUUUCACUAUCAAUGAAACAUUUCUAUUGUUCAAUCCUUAAAGUUUCUAUCUUUCUUGUUUAUUAUCAAUUGUUCUUGGCUCGAAUCACCCGUCUCCAUAUUUAUACCGAACCGACACUGAAAUCGGAUCGUUUCGGACCUAUCAUUUGGUAUCAGAGCCUCGGUGGCUCGUUUCAGCUUUGGUUUGGUCGGAUCUACAUCGGAAAACCGCCGGAGACGUAAAACAUAUGCAGAUUUGUGUGUUUUAAUGUUGUAUCAUAUCUGUUUCAUGUGUUUCAUAUGGGAUUCGUGAUGGUGAAUAUUUAGGCAGUUGUUCAUGAGGUGGUUGAUUGGUUUUUAGUUGAUAUCUUCAAUGAUACAGAGAUUUGGUCACAGCUUGGAGAAGUUUUAUCGGUUUGUAUUAGCUUCCCGGAAUCUGUCAUAGAUUCUAGUGGUUCCGGUAAGUCUGUUCAUAUUGGUUCGUAUCUUAUCCGGUCUUCGAUGAUCUUUUACGGUGUCUUGUGUUAUCGGUGUAUGGCUUCUGAAUGCCGACUCUCCUAGAGCAGCUUCUCUUCCCGUUUUUUACCGAUUUCCGAUUCGUUGGAGCGUCUAUAUUGAAGAUCCACAUUAUUUGUGACAAAACUGUGAUUAUUGCUUCAUAUCUGCUGCGAUUUCGUUGUGUCUGCUCAUCUCAUUAGGUUUCUGGUCAUGGGUAGUGCACAGUGGUGUCUGACGGUACGUCAUCGGAAUGGUGAAAACGGCGGAUGACAACAUGAUGGCUGAUACAUGGGUGGCGGCUAGGGUUUGUGUGUUGAAGGUUGCAUGGGCUUGGAAGCAUGACGGGCCAAUGAUUGGCACAAUUCUGUAUUGAUUAUUCCAUGGGCCCAUCGGAAAUAUGAAAAUUGUCGUUGGCAAAUGGAUUUUUGCAGCUAGGUCUGGAAUGGUGUUUCUUGGUCCCACCUGACACAUAAUGGACAUGCUGUAUUAUUAUGAACAUGGUUAUUUGUUUUGCCUGACCAUGGAAUAUUUCUCUUGGGCCAACAAAUACACCAGAUUAUUAGAUUAGAUUCAGGUAUAUUUAUCAGUUAUUGGGCCUGGUUGUAUUUCUUAGUUUAUUUUGGGUUAAAAUUGUUUGGGUUAUAUAGUUUAUUCUCAUAUUUCGUGGGGUUCGAUAAAAAUAAUGUUUGGAGUAUAUUGUUGGGUUUUUGUUUAGAGCUGAUCGAGAUUAUUGUUGGAUAUAUUCUAACAUGGUAUAUUUGGUUUAAAACAAAAAAAAAAAAAAAAAAAAGAAAGAAAGGGAAUCGUUUGAAUUAAUGGGGUUGGUUCAUUUGGAAUUUAGUAUCUUUGGAUCUUUAGUGGAAGAGUUUUUAAUUUGGAGGGUGUGCUCUCGGGUGUUGUUACAAAGUUGAAUAUGGAAUUGGUUUUAUGGUUUGAAUAACCAAGGAUGGUGGUAUCUGAUUACCGCUAUCUUGGUUUGGGUCCCACAUGGUAUUGGCUCUUAUGGGAUGGAAUUUUAGAAUAGAUUUAACCAUGUGUACUAAAUUUGAGCUUAAGUAAUUCGAGUGGUGGAUAAAUGGAUCGUUUUUGUCUUGGGUUGCAUAUGGAUCUGCUUAUGUCAGGUUUAAUCGAAAUUGAAAUUUAUUUGGGCCGGGAGUAUAAGAUUAUUACAUGGGCCGAAAGAAAAUAUUGCGACUUUGGGGCUUUAAAGUUUUGACCGAGUUAAAGAUCCUCACAAUAAAGCUAAUUAUUUGAUUUUUAUCAUUGGAGUUGGAACCCUAUCACAUGCCUACUACAAUUGUAUCUUCAAAAGUAAGAUAAGGAGCUUUGAUCGACAAGAUAUAGGAGGGUCUACAUUUGCGGGGGAAAACGACAAUGAAGAUUUUGGGUAUUUAGCCGAUUUGUGAAGAUUCGAAGACGACGUC